rnacentral:scRNA from 1 species
GGUGGAAGCUGCAGAGCGAACCAUGUAGACAGAUGAGAAAAUAUCUUCUGCCUGCGGAAGGCAAUAGUCCUACAGAAACAUG